rnacentral:rRNA from 1 species
AUUGAACGCUGGCGGCAGGCUUAACACAUGCAAGUCGAGCGGAGAUGAGGUGCUUGCACCUUAUCUUAGCGGCGGACGGGUGAGUAAUGCUUAGGAAUCUGCCUAUUAGAGGGGGACAACAUUCCGAAAGGAAUGCUAAUACCGCAUACGUCCUACGGGAGAAAGCAGGGGAUCUUCGGACCUCGCGCUAAUAGAUGCGCCUAAGUCGGAUUAGCAAGUUGGUGGGUAAAGGCCUACCAAGGCGACGAUCUGUAGCGGGUCUGAGAGGAUGAUCCGCCACACUGGGACUGAGACACGGCCCAGACUCCUACGGGAGGCAGCAGUGGGGAAUAUUGGACAAUGGGGGAAACCCUGAUCCAGCCAUGCCGCGUGUGUGAAGAAGGCCUUAUGGUUGUAAAGCACUUUAAGCGAGGAGGAGGCUACUGAGACUAAUACUCUUGGAUAGUGGACGUUACUCGCAGAAUAAGCACCGGCUAACUCUGUGCCAGCCGCCGCCGUAA